UCACUUACCUGGACGGGGUCAAUGGGCGAUCAAGAAUGUCCAUGGCCUAGGUUGGUGACCUCCAUUGCACUUAGGAGGGGUGCCCGCCUAAGGUCGGCCCAAGUGGUCGAGCCUACGUCAUAAUUUGUGGCAGUGGAGGCCUGCGUUCGCGCGGCCUCUU
rnacentral:snRNA from 1 species